rnacentral:tRNA from 4 species
GGAGAGGUGUCCGAGUGGUUUAUGGAACUGGUCUUGAAAACCAGCGAUUCGCGUGAGCGGACCAUGGGUUCGAAUCCCAUCCUCUCCGCCA